AUUGAACGCUGGCGGCAGGCCUAACACAUGCAAGUCGAGCGGUAGAGAGAAGCUUGCUUCUCUUGAGAGCGGCGGACGGGUGAGUAAUGCCUAGGAAUCUGCUUGGUAGUGGGGGAUAACGUUCGGAAACGAACGCUAAUACCGCAUACGUCCUACGGGAGAAAGCAGGGGACCUUCGGGCCUUGCGCUAUCAGAUGAGCCUAGGUCGGAUUAGCUAGUUGGUGAGGUAAUGGCUCACCAAGGCGACGAUCCGUAACUGGUCUGAGAGGAUGAUCAGUCACACUGGAACUGAGACACGGCCCAGACUCCUACGGGAGGCAGCAGUGGGGAAUUUUGGACAAUGGGCGCAAGCCUGAUCCAGCAAUGCCGCGUGCAGGAUGAAGGCCU
rnacentral:rRNA from 1 species